GACGAACGCUGGCGGCGUGCCUAAUACAUGCAAGUAGAACGCUGAAGAGAAGAGCUUGCUCUUCUUGGAUGAGUUGCGAACAGGUGAGUAACGCGUAGGUAACCUGCCUGGUAGCGGGGGAUAACUAUUGGAAACGAUAGCUAAUACCGCAUGAUAUUAAUUGUCGCAUGAUAAUUAAUUGAAAGAUGCAAUUGCAUCACUACCAGAUGGACCUGCGUUGUAUUAGCUAGUUGGUGAGGUAACGGCUCACCAAGGCGACGAUACAUAGCCGACCUGAGAGGGUGAUCGGCCACACUGGGACUGAGACACGGCCCAGACUCCUACGGGAGGCAGCAGUAGGGAAUCUUCGGCAAUGGGGGGAACCCUGACCGAGCAACGCCGCGUGAGUGAAGAAGGUUUUCGGAUCGUAAAGCUCUGUUGUAAGAGAAGAACGGGUGUGAGAGUGGAAAGUUCACACUGUGACG
rnacentral:rRNA from 1 species